rnacentral:rRNA from 1 species
UGGGGAAUUUUGGACAAUGGGCGAAAGCCUGAUCCAGCAAUGCCGCGUGCAGGAAGAAGGCCUUCGGGUUGUAAACUGCUUUUGUACGGAACGAAAAGGCUCUUUCUAAUAAAGAGGGCCCAUGACGGUACCGUAAGAAUAAGCACCGGCUAACUACGUGCCAGCAGCCGCGGUAAUACGUAGGGUGCGAGCGUUAAUCGGAAUUACUGGGCGUAAAGCGUGCGCAGGCGGUUCUAUAAGACAGAUGUGAAAUCCCCGGGCUCAACCUGGGAAUGGCAUUUGUGACUGUAGAGCUAGAGUACGGUAGAGGGGGAUGGAAUUCCGCGUGUAGCAGUGAAAUGCGUAGAUAUGCGGAGGAACACCGAUGGCGAAGGCAAUCCCCUGGACCUGUACUGACGCUCAUGCACGAAAGCGUGGGGAGCAAACAGGAUUAGAUACCCUUGUAGUCCCUGAGCGGGCUGGCAAGGCGCAU